rnacentral:rRNA from 1 species
UGGGGAAUUUUGGACAAUGGGCGAAAGCCUGAUCCAGCAAUGCCGCGUGUGUGAAGAAGGCCUUCGGGUUGUAAAGCACUUUUGUCCGGAAAGAAAUCCUUGGCUCUAAUACAGUCGGGGGAUGACGGUACCGGAAGAAUAAGCACCGGCUAACUACGUGCCAGCAGCCGCGGUAAUACGUAGGGUGCAAGCGUUAAUCGGAAUUACUGGGCGUAAAGCGUGCGCAGGCGGUUUGCUAAGACCGAUGUGAAAUCCCCGGGCUCAACCUGGGAACUGCAUUGGUGACUGGCAGGCUAGAGUAUGGCAGAGGGGGGUAGAAUUCCACGUNUGAGCAGUGAAAUGCGUAGAGAUGUGGAGGAAUACCGAUGGCGAAGGCAGCCCCCUGGGCAAUACUGACGCUCAUGCACGAAAGCGUGGGGAGCAAACAGGAUUAGAUACCCUGGUAGUCCACGCCCUAAACGAUGUCAACUAGUUGUUGGGGAUCAUUUCCUUAGUAACGUAGCUAACGCGUGAAGUUGACCGCCUGGGGAGUACGGUCGCAAGAUUAAAACUCAAAUGAAUUGACGGGGUCAUAGCUG